AACGAACGCUGGCGGCAUGCCUAACACAUGCAAGUCGAACGAGACCUUCGGGUCUAGUGGCGCACGGGUGCGUAACGCGUGGGAAUCUGCCCUGGGGUGCGGAAUAACUCGGAGAAAUCCGUGCUAAUACCGCAUAAUGUCUUCGGACCAAAGAUUUAUCGCCCUGGGAUGAGCCCGCGUAGGAUUAGCUAGUUGGUGGGUAAAGGCCUACCAAGGCGACGAUCCUUAGCUGGUCUGAGAGGAUGAUCAGCCACACUGGGACUGAGACACGGCCCAGACUCCUACGGGAGGCAGCAGUGGGGAAUAUUGGACAAUGGGCGAAAGCCUGAUCCAGCAAUGCCGCGUGAGUGAUGAAGGCCCUAGGGUUGUAAAGCUCUUUUACCCGGGAUGAUAAUGACAGUACCGGGAGAAUAAGCUCCGGCUAACUCCGUGCCAGCAG
rnacentral:rRNA from 1 species